UACGUAGGUGGCAAGCGUUGUCCGGAUUUACUGGGCGUAAAGGGCGUGCAGGCGGUUUGUUAAGUGCAGGGUGAAAGCUCCCGGCUCAACUGGGAGAGGUCCUUGCAUACUGGCAAACUCGAGGGAGGCAGAGGAAAGUGGAAUUCCCGGUGUAGUGGUGAUAUGCGUAGAUAUCGGGAGGAACACCUGUGGCGAAGGCGGCUUUCUGGGCCUUUACCUGGACCG
rnacentral:rRNA from 1 species